CAAUAGCGUAUAUUAAAGUUGUUGCAGUUAAAAGCUCGUAGUUGGAGUUCAGAGUGAGCUCGUCCGGUCGGCCUUAUGGGUCAGAACUGGGUGACUUUCUCUUGCUUGUGGAUCCCGUCCGGAGUUAACUCUUCGGAUGUGGACUCCACAUCGUUUACCUUGAAAAAAUUAGAGUGUUCAAGCGGGCGUUUUGCUUGAAUAUAUUAGCAUGGAAUAAUGGAAUAGGACCCUGGUUCUAUUUUGUUGGUUUUGAGAACCAGAGUAAUGAUUAAUAGGGAUAGUGGGGGCAUUCAUAUUUCAUUGUCAGAGGUGAAAUUCUUGGAUUUAUGAAAGAUGAACUUCUGCGAAAGCAUUUGCCAAGGAUGUUUUCAUUAAUCAAGAACGAAAGUUAGGGGAUCGAAGAUGAUUAGAU
rnacentral:rRNA from 1 species